rnacentral:rRNA from 1 species
AGACCGUUCUCUUCAGAGGCCGGUCAUUGGAAUGGGUACAAUUUAAACCCUUUAACGAGUAUCUAUGAGAGGGCAAGUCUGGUGCCAGCAGCCGCGGUAAUUCCAGCUCUCAAAAUGCAUAGAAUCAUUGCUGCGGUUAAAAAGCUCGUAGUUGGAUCUGUGCUGGCGGGUCGGUCCACCUUCGGGUGCGCACUGAUUUCGCCGGCUUUCCUGCUGUAUUUGGCCCUGUGCCUUUCAACGGGUGCAGUGUCCAGUGCAGCAAGUUUACCUUGAACAAAUCAGAGUGCUUCAAACAGGCGUUUCGCUUGAAUGUUCGUGCGUGGAAUAAUAGAAGAGGAUUUCGGUUCUAUUUUAUUGGUUUUAUAGACUGAGAUAAUGGUUAACAGAGACUAACGGGGGCAUUAGUAUUGCUACGUGAGAGGUGAAAUUCUUGGACCGUAGCAAGACUGACUACAGCGAAAGCAUUUGCCAAGAAAGUCUUCAUUAAUCAAGAACGAAAGUCAGAGGUUCGAAGGCGAUCAGAUACCGCCCUAGUUCUGACCGUAAACGAUGCCAACUAGUGAUCCGCCGGUGGAACAUUCGCCCUGGUGGGGAACUUCCCGGAAACGAAAGUCUUCCGGUUCCGGGGGAAGUAUGGUUGCAAAGCUGAAACUUAAAGGGAUUGACGGAAGGGCACCACCAGGAGUGGAGCCUGCGGCAUAAUUUGACCCAACACGGGAAAACUCACCCGGCCCGGACACCGUAAGGAUUGACAGAUUGAUAGCUCUUUCAUGAUUCGGUGGAUGGUGGUGCAUGGCCGUUCUUAGUUCGUGGAGCGAUUUGUCUGGUUUAUUCCGAUAACGAGCGAGACUCUGGCCUACUAAAUAGUUUACACAUUGCUUCUGUGUGCAUAACUUCUUAGAGGGAUUUUCGGUGUUCAGCCGCAAGAAAUUGAGCAAUAACAGGUCUGUGAUGCCCUUAGAUGUCCGGGGCUGCACGCGCGCUACACUGGCAAAAUCAGCGUGCUUGUCCUUCCCCGAAAGGGGUUGGUAAACUCGUGAAAAUUUGCCGUGAUUGGGAUCGGAAAUUGCAAUUAUUUUCCGUGAACGAGGAAUUCCAAGUAAGUGCGAGUCAUCAACUCGCGUUGAUUACGUCCCUGCCCUUUGUACACACCGCCCGUCGCUGCCCGGGACUGAGCCGUUUCGAGAAACUUGGAGACCGCUGAUCUGGUAACUUCGAUUGCCAUUUUGGUGGGAACCAAUUUAA